rnacentral:rRNA from 1 species
AACACGUAUGAGAGUAACUGUUCAUACGUUGACGGUAUUUAACCAGAAAGUCACGGCUAACUACGUGCCAGCAGCCGCGGUAAUACGUAGGUGGCAAGCGUUAUCCGGAUUUAUUGGGCGUAAAGAGAGUGCAGGCGGUUUUCUUAAGUCUGAUGUGAAAGCCUUCGGCUUAACCGGAGAAGUGCAUCGGAAACUGGAUAACUUGAGUGCAGAAGAGGGUAGUGGAACUCCAUGUGUAGCGGUGGAAUGCGUAGAUAUAUGGAAGGAACACCAGUGGCGAAGGCGGCUACCUGGUCUGCAACUGACGCUGAGACUCGAAAGCAUGGGUAGCGAACAGGAUUAGAUACCCUGGUAG